AACAUCUAAGUACCCCGAGGAAAAGAAAUCAACCGAGAUUCCCCCAGUAGCGGCGAGCGAACGGGGAGCAGCCCAGAGUCUGAAUCAGCUUGUGUGUUAGUGGAACGGUCUGGAAAGUCCGACGGUACAGGGUGAUAGUCCCGUACACCAAAAUGCACAGGUUGUGAACUCGAAGAGUAGGGCGGGACACGUGGUAUCCUGUCUGAAUAUGGGGGGACCAUCCUCCAAGGCUAAAUACUCCUGACUGACCGAUAGUGAACCAGUACCGUGAGGGAAAGGCGAAAAGAACCCCGGCGAGGGGAGUGAAAAAGAACCUGAAACCGUGUACGUACAAGCAGUGGGAGCCUCUUUAUGGGGUGACUGCGUACCUUUUGUAUAAUGGGUCAGCGACUUAUAUUCUGUAGCAAGGUUAACCGUAUAGGGGAGCCGAAGGGAAACCGAGUCUUAACUGGGCGUUAAGUUGCAGGGUAUAGACCCGAAACCCGGUGAUCUAGCCAUGGGCAGGUUGAAGGUUGGGUAACACUAACUGGAGGACCGAACCGACUAAUGUUGAAAAAUUAGCGGAUGACUUGUGGCUGGGGGUGAAAGGCCAAUCAAACCGGGAGAUAGCUGGUUCUCCCCGAAAGCU
rnacentral:rRNA from 1 species